rnacentral:rRNA from 1 species
GCGGUAAUACGUAGGGUGCGAGCGUUGUCCGGAAUUACUGGGCGUAAAGAGCUCGUAGGUGGUUUGUCGCGUUGUUCGUGAAAUCCACGGCUUAACUGUGAGCGUGCGGGCGAUACGGGCAGACUUGAGUACUGCAGGGGAGACUGGAAUUCCUGGUGUAGCGGUGGAAUGCGCAGAUAUCAGGAGGAACACCGGUGGCGAAGGCGGGUCUCUGGGCAGUAACUGACGCUGAGGAGCGAAAGCGUGGGGAGCGAACAGGAUUAGAUACCCUGGUAGUCCACGCCGUAAACGGUGGGUAUAGGUGUGGGUUUCCUUCCUUGGGAUCCGUGCCGUAGCUAACGCAUAAGUACCCCGCCUGGGGAGUACGGCCGCAAGGCUAAAACUCAAAGAAAUUGACGGGGGCCCGCACAAGCGGCGGAGCAUGUGGAUUAAUUCGAUGCAACGCGAAGAAUACCUGGGUUUGACAUGCACAGGACGCCGGCAGAGAUGUCGGUUCCCUUGUGGCCUGUGUGCAGGUGGUGCAUGGCUGUCGUC